GCGUUAUCCGGAUUCACUGGGUUUAAAGGGUGCGUAGGUGGGUAUGUAAGUCAGUGGUGAAAUCCCCGAGCUUAACUUGGGAACUGCCAUUGAUACUAUAUAUCUUGAAUGCCGUAGAGGUAAGCGGAAUAUGUCAUGUAGCGGUGAAAUGCUUAGAUAUGACAUAGAACACCAAUUGCGAAGGCAGCUUACUAUGCGGUUAUUGACACUGAGGCACGAAAGCGUG
rnacentral:rRNA from 1 species